rfam:Thiothrix eikelboomii strain ATCC 49788 genome assembly, contig: EI61DRAFT_scaffold00028.28
GGGGGCGACAUGGCUUCGACGUGGGUUACAAAACUUGGGGAGCAUGCAGUGGGUGUGGUGACCACUUAAACACUAGUCACAAAAAAUAGUCGCAAACGACGACUCUUACGCUCUCGCAGCUUAAUAACCUGCCGAUAGCUGUCUGACCGAGGCCGUGCUUAUGCGUUCGGGUUUCAGGCAUCAUCUAACAUAAGAUCGCGCUUACGUUUGUUCAGGGCAAGAGUGCUAAAACCAAACUGAAACAGCCUGCAAGCCAGCCUGUCAAUCGGCGGGAUGCGGGUUAAACAAAAGAUUGAAUAAGCAUGUAGCGCCUUCAAGCAGCGGAUUUGCGGACGGGGGUUCAAUUCCCCCCGCCUCCACCA